GGGAUAGAAGCUCAGUGGUUGAGCAAUCGAUUGCAGCGUUGUGUAAGCUUCUUACAUAAUUAUAGUUAUCGAUAGGCCGCGUGUUCGAUCCACGCCUGUCCCU